UACACCUAGAAUUGAAGAUGGGCCUUGAAUAAGCACAUAACCUUUGAAUGAUCACCUUGGGAUAGUAUGCAAUGAACCUACUCUGAUUAGCCACCUCAGCUAAGAGUAGCAGUCCAACAAAGAAGCACUGGAAGAGAUUGGCAUUGUAUAAUUCCCUUUGAAACGUGGCAAGCCAAGGAAGAAAUUUGGAUCCCCCAUAAAGAGAAAUUGGAGCAGGAAAAGUAUUUUCACCAAUAGCGGCUGUGGGGAGGAAUUCUGUGGAGACGGCUCUUCAGCAAGAAGCUGGUGACUGUUACAGAUUUCCUACCUGGUCCUUGUGAAGUGAUAGGACAUCUACCAUAUGAAGAAGGCCUGAAUCUGUUCUUGGAUGCACAAUAUAGGACUGUGUGACACAUUCAGGUGAACUGAAAGGGGUGGGACCAUCUGCUCAGUAUUAGGUUGAAAUUUUCAGUCAGUGACAGUUAAUAUUUCUUUCUCACACAGGACCAGAAACAUUUUACCUUUGGAAAACACCAUCUGUUUUUCAAAAGCUGAAAAUAUAAAAAAAUCAGAGUUUGACAUUCUUAAAAUGAUUAUCCUGACAUGAGUCCAUAGUGGCACUGGAUGGGUGACUUUUCGAUGCAGUGAGUGACAACUGUAAAAAUCAGCCCUGUUGCUAGAGAAAAUACUUAAAGAGAGAGGAAAAAGAAAGUUUAAAACAACUGAAUUUGGAAAUAUUUUUUCUCUAGCAUCCCUUGAAGGGAAAUGUGUGCCUAUAUCCCUGUCUUGGAGGUGAAGUUUCAAAGUGUGUUUGAUUUUAUUUUGUUUAGAAUAUCUUUGAUUCUGUUGUUGCUUUGCCUGAAAAUCUGCAUUAGAUAUUUUGUCUCAUUUCAAAAUCCAUCAAACUUUCUAGAUGUUGCACAAAUGAAUCUGCUUAGCUUUACAAAACUUUUUUUGUAAGGGAUGAAAUAAUUUGCCAUUUUCUUAACUUUGAAAAGGCCACAAGAUUUACAUGUUUAAUAGAGAUUUUAAAGUAAAAUGAUCAUUUUGUCAUAGAAUUAGGGAAAGAAAUCAAAUUGUGGCUAAGAUGAAUGUUUAUGUUGACAUUGGGCCUGAAAAACUUUGUAUUGCUUGUGAAAUGGUGGUUUGGGUUGUUUUUUUUUUGUUUUUUGGCUGUUUGUAUUUUUUUUUUUAUUUUUGUGGACGUCAAAUACAUCAAUGCCUAUGAAAGAAAGCAUUGUAUAUGGUAAAUUAUCACUGUGCAGUAAAUAAACAAAGGG